GAUGAACGCUGGCGGCGUGCCUAAUACAUGCAAGUCGAGCGAACGGACGAGAAGCUUGCUUCUCUGAUGUUAGCGGCGGACGGGUGAGUAACACGUGGAUAACCUACCUAUAAGACUGGGAUAACUUCGGGAAACCGUAGCUAAUACCGGAUAAUAUUUUGAACCGCAUGGUUCAAAAGUGAAAGACGGUCUUGCUGUCACUUAUAGAUGGAUCCGCGCUGCAUUAGCUAGUUGGUAAGGUAACGGCUUACCAAGGCAACGAUGCAUAGCCGACCUGAGAGGGUGAUCGGCCACACUGGAACUGAGACACGGUCCAGACUCCUACGGGAGGCAGCAGUAGGGAAUCUUCCGCAAUGGGCGAAAGCCUGACGGAGCAACGCCGCGUGAGUGAUGAAGGUCUUCGGAUCGUAAAACUCUGUUAUUAGGGAAGAACAUAUGUGUAAGUAACUGUGCACAUCUUGACGGUACCUAAUCAGAAAGCCACGGCUAACUACGUGCCAGCAGCCGCGGUAAUACGUAGGUGGCAAGCGUUAUCCGGAAUUAUUGGGCGUAAAGCGCGCGUAGCGGUUUUUUAAGUCUGAUGUGAAAGCCCACGGCUCAACCGUGGAGGGUCAUUGGAAACUGGAAAACUUGAGUGCAGAAGAGGAAAGUGGAAUUCCAUGUGUAGCGGUGAAAUGCGCAGAGAUAUGGAGGAACACCAGUGGCGAAGGCGACUUUCUGGUCUGUAACUGACGCUGAUGUGCGAAAGCGUGGGGAUCAAACAGGAUUAGAUACCCUGGUAGUCCACGCCGUAAACGAUGAGUGCUAAGUGUUAGGGGGUUUCCGCCCCUUAGUGCUGCAGCUAACGCAUUAAGCACUCCGCCUGGGGAGUACGACCGCAAGGUUGAAACUCAAAGGAAUUGACGGGGACCCGCACAAGCGGUGGAGCAUGUGGUUUAAUUCGAAGCAACGCGAAGAACCUUACCAAAUCUUGACAUCCUUUGACAACUCUAGAGAUAGAGCCUUCCCCUUCGGGGGACAAAGUGACAGGUGGUGCAUGGUUGUCGUCAGCUCGUGUCGUGAGAUGUUGGGUUAAGUCCCGCAACGAGCGCAACCCUUAAGCUUAGUUGCCAUCAUUAAGUUGGGCACUCUAAGUUGACUGCCGGUGACAAACCGGAGGAAGGUGGGGAUGACGUCAAAUCAUCAUGCCCCUUAUGAUUUGGGCUACACACGUGCUACAAUGGACAAUACAAAGGGCAGCGAAACCGCGAGGUCAAGCAAAUCCCAUAAAGUUGUUCUCAGUUCGGAUUGUAGUCUGCAACUCGACUACAUGAAGCUGGAAUCGCUAGUAAUCGUAGAUCAGCAUGCUACGGUGAAUACGUUCCCGGGUCU
rnacentral:rRNA from 1 species